GGGUUCCAUCUGCCUAUAAUGUCAUCUUGGGGCAGCCUAGACUAAAUGCACUUCGAGCAAUCGUCUCUACAUACCAUUUGCUUGUGCGCUUUCUGACGAAGAAAAGAACUGGCGAGAUACGAGGAGAUCAACAGCUAGUACGAUAAUGUUACUUAACUAGCCUCCAAAGAACAAGGCCAGUCGAAACUCUCCUCAUUGAUGAUGGACUAGAUCAAAGAGAAGAAGA
rnacentral:lncRNA from 1 species